rnacentral:rRNA from 1 species
CAGCAGCCACGGUAAAACAGAGGAUGCGAGCGUUAUCCGGAAUGAUUGGGCGUAAAGCGCGCGCAGGUGGUUUAAUAAGUCUGAUGUGAAAGCCCACGGCUCAACCGUGGAGGGUCAUUGGAAACUGUUAAACUUGAGUGCAGGAGAGAAAAGUGGAAUUCCUAGUGUAGCGGUGAAAUGCGUAGAUAUUUGGAGGAACAUCGGUGGCGAAGGCGACCUUCUGGACUGUUACUGACGCUGAGAUCCGAAAGCGUGGGGAUCAAACAGGAUUAGAUACCCCAGUAGUCCCUGUCUCUUAUAC